GAUGAAUGCUGGCGGCGUGCCUAAUACAUGCAAGUCGAGCGGUAAGGCCCUUCGGGGUACACGAGCGGCGGACGGCUGAGUAACGCGUGGGAACAUGCCCCAAAGUGAGGGAUAACGCACCGAAAGGUGUGCUAAUACCGCAUAUGGUCUUCGGAUUAAAGGAUUUAUCCGCUUUGGGAGUGGCCCGCGUACGAUUAGAUUGUUGGUGAGGUAACGGCUCACCAAGUCGACGAUCGUUAACUGGGUCUGAGAGGAUGAUCAGUCAGACUGGAACUGAGACAC
rnacentral:rRNA from 1 species